GACGAACGCUGGCGGCGUGCCUAAUACAUGCAAGUAGAACGCUGAAGGAGGAGCUUGCUCUUCUGGAUGAGUUGCGAACGGGUGAGUAACGCGUAGGUAACCUGCCUGGUAGCGGGGGAUAACUAUUGGAAACGAUAGCUAAUACCGCAUAACAGUAGAUGUUGCAUGACAUUUGCUUAAAAGGUGCAAUUGCACCACUACCAGAUGGACCUGCGUUGUAUUAGCUAGUUGGUGGGGUAACGGCUCACCAAGGCGACGGUACAUAGCCGACCUGAGAGGGGGAUCGGCCACACUGGGACUGAGACACGGCCCAGACUCCUACGGGAGGCAGCAGUAGGGAAUCUUCGGCAAUGGACGGAAGUCUGACCGAGCAACGCCGCGUGAGUGAAGAAGGUUUUCGGAUCGUAAAGCUCUGUUGUAAGAGAAGAACGAGUGUGAGAGUGGAAAGUUCACACUGUGACGGUAUCUUACCAGAAAGGGACGGCUAACUACGUG
rnacentral:rRNA from 1 species